GCACCACCUCCCUUACGCUUCAAACCCUACAAUAAAUCCACGCCUUUUCUUCCAUUCUACUUGCCCAUCUCUUCCUCCUCCUCCUCCUCCUCCUCCUCUUCUCUUCUAUCUUCUUCUUCUUCUUCUUCCCAACACAUUGCAUGUUCAUGGAGAACUUGGAGGAGGAGGCAAACCCAGAGUUGGUGCUAGAGCCUCCGGAGUCGACCCGGCCAUCGAGGGUGUUCACGUGCGGUUACUGCCAGAGGAAGUUCUGCAGCUCUCAGGCGUUGGGCGGCCACCAGAACGCGCACAGGUACGAGCGGAGCCUCGCCAGGCAUAACCUCGAGGAAGAAGGCCGGCAGAGGGCGAUAGCGGCCGGAGCAGCAGCGAGAGGAAGAGAUGGAGACAAAGAGAAAGGCAUAGACUUGUCUUUGAGGCUUUGAGCUGUUUAGUGCACGAUACGUCGAUACCAUUGCAUUAAUGUUUAAUUAAUUACACAUGGAAUUAUUAGUUGAUUGUACCAUUAAUUAUUAGAUCUUGUGUAAUCCUUAUGGAGUCAAAUAAUUCCUAGUUGUGAAGGGCGGCAAGUAAUUAAACUACUGAAGUUGACGCAUAUUUAUCCUGUCUA